rnacentral:rRNA from 1 species
AUUGAACGCUGGCGGAAUGCUUUACACAUGCAAGUCGAACGGUAGAGGGGGCAACCCCUCGAGAGUGGCGAACGGGUGAGUAAUAUAUCGGAACGUGCCCAGUCGUGGGGGAUAACGUAGCGAAAGUUACGCUAAUACCGCAUACGAUCUAAGGAUGAAAGCGGGGGAUCGCAAGACCUCGCGCGAUUGGAGCGGCCGAUAUCAGAUUAGGUAGUUGGUGGGGUAAAGGCUCACCAAGCCAACGAUCUGUAGUUGGUCUGAGAGGACGACCAGCCACACUGGAACUGAGACACGGUCCAGACUCCUACGGGAGGCAGCAGUGGGGAAUUUUGGACAAUGGACGCAAGUCUGAUCCAGCCAUUCCGCGUGCAGGAUGAAGGCCCUCGGGUUGCAAACUGCUUUUGUACGAAACGAAAAGGUCUCUCUUAAUACGGGGGGCUCAUGACGGUACCGUAAGAAUAAGCACCGGCUAACUACGUGCCAGCCGCCGCCGUAA